GGCACUGCAUCACAGGGAGCAUGGCUAACGGACAGAUGGAACUCUGGAGUUUAACCUUAGUUAAGUAAGGGCAUAUGAUGAAGUUGGCCAUCUUUCCAGGAACACCUCAUAGGUUCUCUCUUCUGUCUGUGGAUUCAGGAAAUCUUGCAUCAUGGGAAAAAGAAAUGGAGCCUGGAGCCUACCUUGGAUGCAUCCAGGGCCAGAGGGCCAGGUUGGAUGGCUUCCUGCGAAAUUCUCCAUGCACCAUGCGGAACAUGCAUAGAAGAGUAUACUAGUAGAUGAGAAUGAAAAGAAUAAAUGUACACAAGUUAAACAAACUAA
rnacentral:lncRNA from 1 species